rnacentral:rRNA from 1 species
UACGUAGGCAGCGAGCGUUGUUCGGAAUUACUGGGCGUAAAGAGUGUGUAGGCGGUGUUCCCAGUCUGUUGUGAAAUCUCCCGGCUUAACUGGGAGGGUGCAGCGGAAACUAGAAUGCUAGAGGGUGGGAGAGGUAAGCGGAAUUCUUGGUGUAGCGGUGAAAUGCGUAGAUAUCAGGAGGAACACCUGUGGUGUAGACAGCUUACUGGACCACUUCUGACGCUGAGACACGAAAGCGUGGGUAGCAAACAGG